GGKUACUGCUCCACCCUAAGUCCAACAAUGAGUACGGUAGUACGGACAUGGCCCACAGAGGGUGAAAGGCCCGUGGGGGUGGAGAUCAGGCAGGCCAGUACCUCUCUGGGUAGACCUUGGAGUCGGGUUGUUUGUGAAUGCAGCCCAAAGUGGGUGGUAAACUCCAUCCAAGGCUAAAUACUAGCACGAGUCCGAUAGCGAACAAGUACCGUGAGGGAAAGUUGAAAAGUACUUUGAAGAGAGAGUAAACAGUGCGUGAAACCGCUCAGAGGUAAGCGGGUGGAGUUGAACUGCAAGCUCUGGGGAUUCAGCUGGUGAGUGUGUUUUGAGCUUGGUCAAAUUGGUUGGACUUCGGGGUCUGCGUAGCAGCAGGUCUCUGCCCUCGGGUGGGGAUGCGCGAUGCACUUAUCAAGUGUUGUGCGCUCCGGAUGUUCUUCGAGCCGACUUGCCAGUGCACUUUCUCAGAGUGGUCACCACGACCGGCACUGCUGUCUGGCUGUUGUGGUUAAACCGGACUUGCAUUGGCCUCGUGUCUUUGCUUGGUCGGGAUGGCAGGUAGCCCGUUGGCUUGUCUGUGGCUUGCUGCAGACGUCGGCUUUCGGGUGUAAUCAGCUGACCUCAAUGGUUCUGUGCAGUGUGUCGGAGACGGCGGCUUGUGGUGUGUGCAUGYGCGUCUGGUUGCUGGCGUGUUCGGGUUUGGUUGCCAUGUCGCUUGUUCAAGCAAGCCU
rnacentral:rRNA from 1 species